CCUACGGGAGGCAGCAGUGGGGGAUAUUGCACAAUGGGGGAAACCCUGAUGCAGCGACGCCGCGUGAGUGAAGAAGUAUUUCGGUAUGUAAAGCUCUAUCAGCAGGGAAGAAAAUAGACGGUACCUGACUAAGAAGCCCCGGCUAACUACGUGCCAGCAGCCGCGGUAAACCGUGGGGGGCAAGCGUUAUCCGGAUUUACGGGGUGUAAAGGGAGCGUAGACGGCAAUACAAGUCGGAAGUGAAAUCCCCGGGCUUAACCUGGGAACUGCUUUGGAAACUGUAUGGCUGGAGUUCUGGAGAGGUAAGCGGAAGUCCUAGUGUAGCGGUGAAAUGCGUAGAGAUUAGGAGGAACACCGGUGGCGAAGGCGGCCUGCUGGACUGCAACUGACGUUGAGGCCCGAAAGCGUGGGGAGCAAACAGGAUUAGAUACCCGUGUAGUC
rnacentral:rRNA from 1 species